rnacentral:rRNA from 1 species
UACGUAGGGUGCAAGCGUUAAUCGGAAUUACUGGGCGUAAAGCGUGCGCAGGCGGUUGUGCAAGACCGAUGUGAAAUCCCCGGGCUUAACCUGGGAAUGGCAUUGGUGACUGCACGGCUAGAGUGUGCCAGAGGGGGGUAGAAUUCCACGUGUAGCAGUGAAAUGCGUAGAGAUGUGGAGGAAUACCGAUGGCGAAGGCAGCCCCCUGGGAUAACACUGACGCUCAUGCACGAAAGCGUGGGGAGCAAACAGG